rnacentral:rRNA from 1 species
GUAGGUGGCAAGCGUUGUCCGGGAAUUAUUGGGGAGUAAAGCGCGCGCAGGCGGUUCUUCAAGUCUGAUGUGAAAGCCCACGGGCUCAACCGUGGAGGGUCAUUGGAAACUGGAGAACUUGAGUACAGAAGAGGAAAGCGGAAUUACACGUGUAGCGGUGAAAUGCGUAGAGAUGUGGAGGAACACCAGUGGCGAAGGCGGCUUUCUGGUCUGUAACUGACGCUGAGGCGCGAAAGCGUGGGGAGCAAACAGGAUUAGAUACCCUGGUAGUCCACGCCGUAAACGAUGAGUGCUAAGUGUUAGGGGGUUUCCGCCCCUUAGUGCUGCAGCUAACGCAUUAAGCACUCCGCCUGGGGAGUACGGCCGCAAAGGCUGA